GACGAACGCUGGCGGCGUGCCUAAUACAUGCAAGUUGAGCGCUGAAGGUUGGUACUUGUACCAACUGGAUGAGCAGCGAACGGGUGAGUAACGCGUGGGGAAUCUGCCUUUGAGCGGGGGACAACAUUUGGAAACGAAUGCUAAUACCGCAUAAAAACUUUAAACACAAGUUUUAAGUUUGAAAGAUGCAAUUGCAUCACUCAAAGAUGAUCCCGCGUUGUAUUAGCUAGUUGGUGAGGAAAAGGCUCACCAAGGCGAUGAUACAUAGCCGACCUGAGAGGGUGAUCGGCCACAUUGGGACUGGGACACGGCCCAAACUCCUACGGGAGGCAGCAGUAGGGAAUCUUCGGCAAUGGACGAAAGUCUGACCGAGCAACGCCGCGUGAGUGAAGAAGGUUUUCGGAUCGUAAAACUCUGUUGGUAGAGAAGAACGUUGGUGAGAGUGGAAAGCUCAUCAAGUGACGGUAACUACCCAGAAAGGGACGGCUAACUACGUG
rnacentral:rRNA from 1 species